rnacentral:rRNA from 1 species
GAUGACGACCGGCGCACGGGUGCGUAACGCGUAUAGAACCUACCUUUUACAGAGGGAUAGCCUUUAGAAAUGAAGAUUAAUACCUCAUGGUAUUGAGUUUUGGCAUCAAGACUUAAUUAAAGAUUUAUCGGUAAAAGAUGGCUAUGCGUCCUAUUAGCUAGAUGGUAAGGUAACGGCUUACCAUGGCAACGAUAGGUAGGGGUCCUGAGAGGGAGAUCCCCCACACUGGUACUGAGACACGGACCAGACUCCUACGGGAGGCAGCAGUGAGGAAUAUUGGGCAAUGGAGGCAACUCUGACCCAGCCAUGCCGCGUGCAGGAUGACUGCCCUAUGGGUUGUAAACUGCUUUUAUACAGGAAGAAACGUGUCUACGUGUAGAUAUUUGACGGUACUGUAAGAAUAAGGACCGGCUAACUCCGUGCCAGCAGCCGCGGUAAUACGGAGGGUCCGAGCGUUAUCCGGAAUCAUUGGGUUUAAAGGGUCCGCAGGCGGUCAAUUAAGUCAGAGGUGAAAUCCCAUAGCUCAACUAUGGAACUGCCUUUGAUACUGGUUGACUUGAGUCAUAUGGAAGUAGAUAGAAUGUGUAGUGUAGCGGUGAAAUGCAUAGAUAUUACACAGAAUACCGAUUGCGAAGGCAGUCUACUACGUAUGUACUGACGCUGAGGGACGAAAGCGUGGGGAGCGAACAGGAUUAGAUACCCUGGUAGUCCACGCCGUAAACGAUGGAUACUAGUUGUUGGGUUUAUACUCAGUGACUAAGCGAAAGUGAUAA